rnacentral:rRNA from 1 species
UGGCGGGAGGGUGAGUAAUGUCUGGGAAACUGCCUGAUGGAGGGGGAUAACUACUGGAAACGGUAGCUAAUACCGCAUAACGUCGCAAGACCAAAGAGGGGGACCUUCGGGCCUCUUGCCAUCGGAUGUGCCCAGAUGGGAUUAGCUAGUAGGUGGGGUAACGGCUCACCUAGGCGACGAUCCCUAGCUGGUCUGAGAGGAUGACCAGCCACAUUGGAACUGAGACACGGUCCAG